rnacentral:rRNA from 1 species
UGGGGAAUAUUGGGCAAUGGAGGCAACUCUGACCCAGCAACGCCGCGUGAAUGAUGAAGGUCUUCGGAUUGUAAAGUUCUUUUCUAAGGGAAGAAGAAAGUGACGGUACCUUAGGAAUAAGCCUCGGCUAACUACGUGCCAGCAGCCGCGGUAAUACGUAGGAGGCAAGCGUUAUCCGGAAUGACUGGGCGUAAAGGGUGCGUAGGUGGUUUAGCAAGUUAGUAGCGUAACUCCGGAGCUCAACUUCGGAACUACUACUAAAACUGUUGAACUUGAGUGCAGGAGGGGCAACUGGAAUUCCUAGUGUAGCGGUGGAAUGCGUAGAUAUUAGGAGGAACACCAGUGGCGAAGGCGAGUUGCUGGACUGUAACUGACACUGAGGCACGAAAGCGUGGGGAGCAAACAGG